AAACGACUCUCGGCAACGGAUAUCUCGGCUCUUGCAUCGAUGAAGAACGUAGCGAAAUGCGAUACUUGGUGUGAAUUGCAGAAUCCCGUGAACCAUCGAGUCUUUGAACGCAAGUUGCGCCCGAAGCCAUUAGGCCAAGGGCACGCCUGCCUGGGUGUCACA
rnacentral:rRNA from 1 species